rnacentral:rRNA from 1 species
GAUGGUAGUGUGGCUUUGCCAUGCGAGAGUAGGUCACCGCCAGGG